UAUAUCCUUUCUCUUAACUGGAAAAAAGAAAGAAAUGUAUUAUAAUGAGAUCUGGAGGAGGAAGAAGUUAAUAUAGAGAUUUAUAAAUAGUGGUUAUGUAAUACAGUAGUAGAAUAUGAAAGAGGUGUUAAUCAAAAAAAAAAAAAGAAUAUGAAAGAGGAUAUGCUUAGCUUUGGCGUGACCAAGUGUUGUGAAAUGUGGCAUGUACUAAUUAAAGAUAUGAAAUAAAAGUUAGAUUAUUGUUGCUGUUGAUGUAAAAGAUGACAAAAUCCUCAGCAUAUUCGGUUUCAAGUUCUGUUUGAGUCUUAUGUUUACAUUUUCUAUGUAACAUAUAUAAUUUUGAGUUUCUUAUCUUUUGACCGGACCUUUUAGAGUAUGUUUGGUAUAUAGGCAUUACAUGUUUUCUUGUUGAUUUUAUGUUAUCUUUUCAAGGUAUAAACUCUAGAAUGUGAGGCUGAUUCCUU
rnacentral:lncRNA from 1 species